GAUGAACGCUGGCGACGUGCCUAAUACAUGCAAGUAGAACGCUGAAGCUUGGUGCUUGCCCCGAGCGGAUGAGUUGCGAACGGGUGAGUAACGCGUAGGUAACCUGCCUCUUAGCGGGGGAUAACUAUUGGAAACGAUAGCUAAUACCGCAUAAAAGUCGAUAUCGCAUGAUAUUGAUUUGAAAGGUGCAAUUGCAUCACUAAGAGAUGGACCUGCGUUGUAUUAGCUAGUUGGUGAGGUAACGGCUCACCAAGGCGACGAUACAUAGCCGACCUGAGAGGGUGAUCGGCCACACUGGGACUGAGACACGGCCCAGACUCCUACGGGAGGCAGCAGUAGGGAAUCUUCGGCAAUGGGGGCAACCCUGACCGAGCAACGCCGCGUGAGUGAAGAAGGUUUUCGGAUCGUAAAGCUCUGUUGUAAGAGAAGAACGAGUGUGAGAGUGGAAAGUUCACACUGUGACGGUAACUUAACAGAAAGGGACGGCUAACUACGUG
rnacentral:rRNA from 1 species